rnacentral:rRNA from 1 species
GACGAACCGUGCGAACGUUAUUCGGAAUUACUGGGCGUAAAGCGCGUGUAGGCGGAUCCAUAAGUCGGGCGUGAAAUCCCCAGGCUCAACCUGAGAACUGCGCUCGAAACUGUAGGUCUAGAGUGUCGGAGAGGAUGGCGGAAUUCCUGGUGUAGAGGUGAAAUUCGUAGAUAUCAGGAGGAACACCGGUGGCGAAGGCGGCCAUCUGGACGACAACUGACGCUGAGACGCGAAAGCGUGGGGAGCAAACAGG